rnacentral:rRNA from 1 species
AACGUAGGAGACAAACGUUAUCCGGAGUUACUGGGCGUAAAGGGCGUGCAGGUGGUCUGUUAAGUCUGGCGUGAAAGCUCUCGGCUAAACCGGGAGAGGUCGUUGGAUACUGGCGGACUAGAGGACGGUAGAGGUGUGUGGAAUUCCGGGUGUAGUGGUGAAAUGCGUAGAGAUCGGAAGAACACCAGUGGCGAAGGCGACAUAC